GGGUGCUCCUACUUCCAUUUCCCCGGCCUACAGGCGCUGCCCUUUGACCCUGGAAGGGCUUUGGAGAGAGGGUCCUGCUGGGGCCAGGGCCGCGUUGCUAAGGAGACGAGGGCGUUUCAUGUGAACACGUUAACAAGCUGCUUAUCUAAAGAUGGCAUCAAACGGAUAUCUUUUGUUUCCCUCAUCACUUUACCGAAGGACGAUACCAGACUCUGCGCUCGUCUCCUUUCAUGUUUUUCUUCCGUUCUGCCUCUCCUCGCGUGUCUCUGCCAGCGCACAUGCACACACCUGCUGCUGUUCUCCUUAGCAGAUCCCACCCCUAACAUUCUGUGCCAAGAUUCACACCUUAGAAAAUGC
rnacentral:lncRNA from 1 species